rnacentral:rRNA from 1 species
UCGAGAUGAGAUUUCCCAACUUCGGUUAUAAGAUCCCUCAAAGAUGAUGAGGUGAAUAGGUUCGAGGUGGAAGCGUAGCGAUACGUGGAGCUGACGAAUACUAAUCGAUCGAAGACUUAAUCAAU